rnacentral:rRNA from 1 species
CCUACGGGCGGCUGCAGUGGGGAAUAUUGCACAAUGGGGGAAACCCUGAUGCAGCGACGCCGCGUGAGUGAAGAAGUAUUUCGGUAUGUAAAGCUCUAUCAGCAGGGAAGAAGAAAGACGGUACCUGACUAAGAAGCCCCGGCUAACUACGUGCCAGCAGCCGCGGGAAUACGUAGGGGGCAAGCGUUAUCCGGAUUUACUUGGUGUAAAGGGAGCGUAGACGGCUGGGCAAGUCUGAAGUGAAAGCCCAGGGCUCAACCCUGGGACUGCUUUGGAAAACGUGGAGCUAGAGUGCUGGAGAGGUAAGUGGAAUUCCUAGGGUAGCGGUGGAAUGCGUAGAUAUUAGGAGGAACACCAGUGGCGAAGGCGGCUUACUGGACAGUAACUGACGUUGAGGCUCGAAAGCGUGGGGAGCAAACAGGAUUAGAUACCCCAGUAGUC